UACGAAGGGGGCUAGCGUUGCUCGGAAUGACUGGGCGUAAAGGGCGCGUAGGCGGCGAUCAAAGUCAGGCGUGAAAUUCCUGGGCUCAACCUGGGGGCUGCGUUUGAUACGUGCGGACUUGAGUGCGGAAGAGGGUCGUGGAAUUCCCAGUGUAGAGGUGAAAUUCGUAGAUAUUGGGAAGAACACCGGUGGCGAAGGCGGCGACCUGGUCCGAUACUGACGCUGAGGCGCGAAAGCGUGGGGAGCAAACAGG
rnacentral:rRNA from 1 species